UACGGGGGGGGCAAGCGUUGUUCGGAAUUACUGGGCGUAAAGGGCUCGUAGGCGGCCAACUAAGUCAGACGUGAAAUCCCUCGGCUUAACCGGGGAACUGCGUCUGAUACUGGAUGGCUUGAGGUUGGGAGAGGGAUGCGGAAUUCCAGGUGUAGCGGUGAAAUGCGUAGAUAUCUGGAGGAACACCGGUGGCGAAGGCGGCUCACUGGCUCGUAACUGACGCUCAUGCACGACAGCGUGGGGAUCAAACAGG
rnacentral:rRNA from 1 species